CUCCCAGCCUGAGCUUCCUGACUCCCCCUUAGUUCUACCUCCCUUGGCCUUGACUGUCUUUCCUCUUCUUCCCAUAACCUCCCAGCUCUAGCACCUUAUUACAGGACACCUAGGGACCUCGGCACACAUACUUGCAGACAGACACAUUUAUCUGAUUUAUUUUGAUUUUAUUCCUAUAUGUUGGUCUCCACACCAAAGGGCACGGGCAGUUUUGACAUACAUUUAAAAACAGAAGGAUAUAGGGGAUUCAAAGUAAAAACUGACCCAGGGUGAAGCACUUCUUCCUUUUACCCUACUGAACAUCAUUUCAUUACCAUUCAUAUAACCAAUACAACUUAAAUAAAAAAAAUCAGGCUCCCACCAAAUCCCACCCUCAACUGCUUCAACCCUCUGCCAAUGCAAGUUCAGAGACCAGUGUGCACACAUGCACACCAAAAAGUUCAGAGGCAGGUGUCUGCACAGAUAUGCACGUAUACAGCCAUGAUUGCCACCUGGUCGCCAUUCUGGAGCACCUUGUAUAGUUGGAAGUGGUGGAAUGUUGUGGUUGGAAGACUCUAUGGCAGUUGGGGGCUGGUAACUGCAUCCUGGCUGAUUAAACAAGCUGCUCCAACAGCAUCUCCCUGGAGAAAUAGAGAAGCUGCUGAGGCCCUAGGCAUUAUAUUGUCACCAGAAGCUGACAGGGAGGUACUUGCAUAUGGGCCUGAUAUGAUCACAGCAGCCCAAGCCAUGGAGAAGCUGGCCAGACACAUUCUAUAACAGCUGAUUCCCCUGCACUGUCUUCACAUUUGACUGGGGACAAGCCGACAGGAUCUCACAGCUCCAAGCUUCCAGAUCAGCAGCUGCUCAGGCUCCAGAUUUCCAUCCCUACAGUGGGCCAGUCUCCAGACAGCCUGAUGUUGCGUAUCUCUGCAAGAGUGGGUGGAACUGGUCUGGCAUAAGAGAACAUGAAGAAAUCAACUGAACAGCAGCAUAAACAACUUGAACUGUGGAGUGCCUGGGCUGAUCUAGUAUAGGAGGACCUGGGGAAACCAAACUAACUAAUAAGAAGUUAUCCUUCUCCAGUCUCCUCCUAUUCCUGCACAGGUCAGUGGGAACUUCAGCAGCUAUACUUAGCAUGCAAACCAAAACAGUUCCUUCAGAACACUUGGGUGAAUACCAUCUAGUCCUGGAGUUCUACCUGAAUCACUGAGGACACCUGACCCCAGAGAGAUAUUUCUGUGCAAUUUGAGAUGGAAAACUGGAACCAAUCAGGGUUGACCUUUCUUCAUUUUAGAGCAAUUUUCUCCUGUUAAUAGAGAUUGAAUCUGAUGUGCGUACAUUCAUAGGAACCCAGAAUUCUAGGUAUUUGUAGAAUAAUGUAUCAGGUUUCAAAAUAAACUCAGCUAUGCUUAUGAGCAGAGGGUCCUCUUUGCUCAGGCUAAUGAAGUAAUAUCCCAUACUGGGGCCAGGAGGGAAUAGGGAGAAAGCAUAGGAUUUUAGAAGAGCUGGCAUGUUAGGAAGUUGGUCAGGAUAGAGUGAAACUGCCCAAGUUGCACCAUUAUUUACAUUUUGCAUGAUUCCACUUGGCUAGGAUAUCCUGUUUUAAAUGUGUAGUAUCUAGCUGCUGUGGCCUGCAAGAAAACUGGUAUAAUUUGAGAUUUCUACAGUGAGUAGUGAAUGAAAGGUGCAUUAUUCAAAUCCUAGCUGAACAAAGCUGUCAGCCAACCUUAAAAUGCUGGUGAAUUAUGUAGCAGUGGCUUAGAAGGGGCCCUGGUUAUUCAGUUAAGGAUACCUGAAGCCUUGGUCAAAAGCUAAGGGCUUGUCUACAUACUGGUCUGAGAGUCCUUAGCGGGAGUUUGUAAUAAAUCAGUAAACUUCCCUACGUGGAGAGAUCCUCGGACUAAGCAUUUGUGAUUAAACAGACAGACAGCUAGAAUUAAACUGCUCGUUUCUCUUGUACUAAAACAUGGUGCUUGUUAGUGGAAAAAAUGUGCCCCCCCCCCAAGGCAAAUGAGAGGUUCUAUACUGACUAGAACAGGAGCCCCCCUCACUUUGUGGAGAGCCAAAAUCCAGUUUUACUCAGAGGGUGGGGCACAAGUUUGGGCUACGUCGCGCCUUCUAGCCACAGAGCCUCUCCUGUAUUUAGCUGUUGUGUACUAGGGCCUAGGAGCCCCGCUAUACCAGGCACUGUAAAAAAACAACAAAACACUCCCUAUCCCCCUGGGUAGAAUAUUGCCUUUGUCUUGUAACUUGGUAAUUUGUUCACUUCCUAUUUCAACUCUGCUCAGUUGGCAGCUCAUACUCACCUUUAGGGGGCCCUAUUUCUGCCUCCUCCACCUCUCCCUUCCCUACAGCAACUCCCAGCUCACGUUCCAUCUGCUAAAAUGAUCAGCAAUGAAAUAAUGAAUGUUGCUGACUCUGGAAGAGAUCACUGCAUUACUUGACUUGGGUCACAUGUGAAGUUAUUUCUGCAACCAUGUGGGCUGCUUUUUUUUUUUUUUAAUAUGAAGAUUUUCUAAAAUUUUGCAGAAAUCUGAAUGUCAUGAAGGCAAUAAAAAUACAUUGAGUGGGCUGCCAUCUCGUCUGUGGCUCAGGAAUUUGACAGCAGUGGAUUAGAGUGUAUUUUGAUAGAUGCUAAGGUGUACAUUUUUAAGACAACUUUGCCCUUAUGUAGCAUAUUUUUAAAGAGGUCCAUCUACCUUGGCCAGUGAGCAAGACCUGCCGUAAUGGUCCAGUGCUGCAACAUUCCAAGCACUUAUGUACUUGGCUGAACAUCUCAGUAGGCCUACGGACUUCUGUGGGACUACUUGCAUAGUUAAGUGUUUUGUUGGAUCAGGACCAGAGUGCUCAGCACUUUGCAGGAUCAAGCUCUUGUAUGUGAACAAAUGGAAGCACCAGGCUCGGGUGAUUUGUCAAAACACCCCCAGCAAGUCUGUCAGAGCCAGAAACUGAAACCAGGACUUACUCCCACAUCAUCAGUAAGCAAAUAUACCAGGAGAGUCACACAUACACAUGUGAACAAUAAAGUUAAUAGUUAUGGAUAGUUUCCUGUCAAGAGAGACACUUAGUCCAUUUAUGGCAGGACGUGGAAAGUAAGAACAAUGACUAAAAACCCUGAAAAAGUUUACCCCAAUUUGUCACUAGUACUAGCCAGAAGCCAUAAGGGCCUGUAGAGGAUAUCCUUCCCGAGUAGCGUGAGGACUGAGCCUAGCACUCCUAUCAUUAUAAAUGGGACUAAUGAUUCUAACAGUGCAUUUCUGAAAGCUGUCAUUCGCUCUUACGUCAUGUAAGAAACUCCAUCUGUUCGAAAUACAAGGUCACAUUCCUCAAAAUAGUACAACUUAAAACCCCUAGCAGUUUUCUAAUUCAAUCCAAACUGUGUUAAGAUAUGCACAUUACAAAGUUAACUAUAACCGGAAUCAGACAAACCUCAGUUUUUCCCCAAUUUUAAUGUGUUUUCAGAAAAUUUAGAACACCAAUUUGUGAGGAUAAACUCCAUUGGAGAGAGAAAAUACAGAACGCAGGUAGCCACGGAGCUGAGGCAUCUUCUUGAUUCUUGGCAGGAUUUGAGAGUCCACUGUCUUCUGGUCUGCCUUGCGUUGUUCUGUUAUCUCAUAUUUCUAAAGAACAAAAUUGAGAGUUAAAAUACUGCAGAGAUUUAGGAACAGUUGGUUAUCCCUACAGAGAUAAGGCUGGCUUCUUGUUUCCCGCCAUGGCAAGGGCUUUUUUCACUGAGUAAGCAUUUCUCAGCAUUCACUUGGAAUUUUCAUUCCAGGGAACAACAAACAAGUAGUAGUUCUAUUGGGGCCACAGGACUCAAGUCACCUACAGUAGAUAAUUAAAGCUGUUUGAGUUUACACAACUGAUGAUAUGUUUAAAAGAGUAGGAAUAGAUCUUAGCUAAAAGAGCUGUUGCUAAAUUUAAUCAGCUGAUGCUAUGGUGCAAAUGGAGUCCCUAAAAUCACAACACAUGGAACACUUAUGGACAACAGACCAUGGAAUGCGCAUUUAAGAAAAUUCAGGGCUAUUUUAUGAAUCAAUUUACAGAACAACAUUGAGACCAUGCACGCAGGAGAUGCUGCGUUAAGAACCUGUGUUCAAGCACUUCCUCAGUAUGGAGUUAUCUUGAUAACAGCAACAUUUUAAGAUCUCUCCCCCCCCCCCCCCAAGUGUUAGACACACACACUGGGGGAGGUAACAUCUGAAAAGCACUAUAUCUCGAAAGCCUGUCUCCCUCACCAACAGAAGUUGGUCUUAAAAAAAAAAAAAAAUUACCUCACUCACUUGGUCUCGAAUAUCCUGAGACCAACACGGCUGUACCACUUUCCCCAAUGUUGUCAUAUUCAUGCAUUUUAGUGGACUUGACCUUGCUUUCUUUUAACAUGUUCUUAUUCUUAAACAUUAAAUCUGUUUCAUGGAAAGACAUCUCCCUCCCCUUCCACCUAGGCUACAAACACUGAAAAAGACAUUUGCAAAUAGGAAUACUAAUCAUUGUUAUCCUUACUUCUUUCUCAGUGUCAAAGAUCUCGCCUUCUUGAUGUUUGGGCUUACGCAGCCUCUUCUUCUUAAAGUAGGCAUCGGUGAGAUGUUUUGGAAGUUUCACCCCA